CACGUAGGGGGCAAGCGUUGUCCGGAAUUAUUGGGCGUAAAGAGCUCGUAGGCGGCUCGGUAAGUCAGGUGUCAAAUCCUCAGGCUCAACCCUGGGGCUCCACCUGAUACUGCUGUGGCUAGAGUCCGGUAGGGGAGCGUGGAAUUCCGUGGUGUAGCGGUGAAAUGCGCAGAUAUCAGGAGGAACACCAGCGGCGAAGGCGGCGCUCUGGGCCGGAACUGACGCUGAGGAGCGAAAGCGUGGGGAGCGAACAGG
rnacentral:rRNA from 1 species